rnacentral:lncRNA from 1 species
AGCAGUUCUAGCCCAGCCUGUAAGGCAUGUUGUUAUUCUGACACAGUUCGUGUUGGUGGGUUGGUUUGUGACGUUUGGUUUGUGCUGUUUGGAAGAUGCUCAUCCGGGGAAAUGUACCUGCAAGCCUUUUGGCCAAACCCGGAUCAUUGUAACGUGUACAGGGAUUAAGCAAGUGCCACGUGAUUUACCGUCCAAUACGGCACAGUUAAAUCUCUCGGCAAAUCAUUUGAAGUCGAUAGAAGAAGACGCCUUUAGAAAUCUAACAUUACUUAAGGCCAUAGAUCUAUCAAGGAACAGCUUGAAGUCUAUUCCACAAAACGCUUUCCGUAAUCUGAACCUACUGACAUACAUGCAAGUAGAGUUAAUCUGAUUUGUGUUACAGUCAAACUGGAUCUUUGGUUACGAGCUCUCUCAAUGUUCCAUGUAGAUUUGCUUUGCCUAACUUGCUGUAUAGUGUUAGUUCAACGUUAGACCCACUCUAGAGAUUCGACUAUUCCACAAUUUGAGUCGUGUUCACUCGUGUAGACUCGUCAUGACGAGACGAAAUUUUCUAACCUCUACCCUCCCCGUCUAAAUCACCUAAAAAGGGCGUUUAUGCUAAUUCUUACCCUGUGGACAGGACUUUUCCGUGAGUCGAGUCGUGUCAUCUUUGUGGACUCGUCACGAUUUCCUAUUUCCGUCCCCCCUCCACCUCACCUUCUAAAACCGCUAUAGGGCGCUUUUAUAGAAGUUGACGCGACUUAAACUUUCCCAUAAGUGGCAGCGCGUCGGCUCUUCAGUACUUUUACUUCCUCUUUUACAAAUCACCGCACUCCCAGUGUGUUACGCCGGGAACAUAUCACUUUCUGGUUACUUGUAACCUCGAGGGAAGUAAAUUCGACGACUAGAUUCUGAUGUUUACGACAUAACUUUCAAUAAGUCGAGUCGACUACAAAGUUAGAUGACUCAUCUCACCUUGGGUGCAUUUGACAACCCUCGCAUUAGUGCAAUUUCACAUUGUGCAUUUGUAUACGCAUGGUUAUCCUCGUGCAAUUUGGAACUGAAACAAACACUAGUAAAUUUUUCAAAGGCUAACAAAAUUUCAUCAGCAAGUGCAGGUUGUAGUCUGAAAGAAUUCACUAGUGCUUGUUUAUUCCAAAGUGCACGAGAAUAAUCAUGCGAUUACUUUUUUUGUUACCAUAAACUUUAUUGGUUUUCUGCACUACC